AGAGUUUGAUCCUGGCUCAGGAUGAACGCUAGCGGCAGGCCUAAUACAUGCAAGUCGGACGGGAUUUGGGAGCUUGCUCCUGAUGAGAGUGGCGCACGGGUGCGUAACACGUAUGUAACCUACCUUGUUCUGGGGGAUAGCCUCUCGAAAGAGAGAUUAAGACCGCAUAAAAUUACGACAUAGCAUUAUGAUGUAAUCAA
rnacentral:rRNA from 1 species